rnacentral:rRNA from 1 species
UACGUAGGGUGCAAGCGUUGUCCGGAAUUAUUGGGCGUAAAGAGCUCGUAGGCGGUCUGUCGCGUCGGCUGUGAAAUCCCGGAGCUCAACUCCGGGUCUGCAGUCGAUACGGGCAAACUGGAGUACUGCAGGGGAGACUGGAAUUCCUGGUGUAGCGGUGAAAUGCGCAGAUAUCGAGAGGAACACCAGUGGCGAAGGCGAGUCCCUGGACGACUCCUGACACUGAGGCACGAAAGCUAGGGGAGCAAACAGG